UUAAGCGACUAAGCGUACACGGUGGAUGCCUAGGCAGUCAGAGGCGAUGAAGGGCGUGCUAAUCUGCGAAAAGCGUCGGUAAGCUGAUAUGAAGCGUUAUAACCGACGAUACCCGAAUGGGGAAACCCAGUGCAAUACGUUGCACUAUCGUUAGAUGAAUACAUAGUCUAACGAGGCGAACCGGGGGAACUGAAACAUCUAAGUACCCCGAGGAAAAGAAAUCAACCGAGAUUCCCCCAGUAGCGGCGAGCGAACGGGGAGGAGCCCAGAGUCUGAAUCAGUUUGUGUGUUAGUGGAAGCGUCUGGAAAGUCGCACGGUACAGGGUGAUAGUCCCGUACACCAAAAUGCACAGGCUGUGAACUCGAUGAGUAGGGCGGGACACGUGACAUCCUGUCUGAAUAUGGGGGACCAUCCUCCAAGGCUAAAUACUCCUGACUGACCGAUAGUGAACCAGUACCGUGAGGGAAAGGCGAAAAGAACCCCGGCGAGGGGAGUGAAAUAGAACCUGAAACCGUGUACGUACAAGCAGUGGGAGCACCUUCGUGGUGUGACUGCGUACCUUUUGUAUAAUGGGUCAGCGACUUAUAUUUUGUAGCAAGGUUAACCGAAUAGGGGAGCCGUAGGGAAACCGAGUCUUAACUGGGCGUCUAGUUGCAAGGUAUAGACCCGAAACCCGGUGAUCUAGCCAUGGGCAGGUUGAAGGUUGGGUAACACUAACUGGAGGACCGAACCGACUAAUGUUGAAAAAUUAGCGGAUGACUUGUGGCUGGGGGUGAAAGGCCAAUCAAACCGGGAGAUAGCUGGUUCUCCCCGAAAGCUAUUUAGGUAGCGCCUCGUGAACUCAUCUUCGGGGGUAGAGCACUGUUUCGGCUAGGGGGCCAUCCCGGCUUACCAAACCGAUGCAAACUCCGAAUACCGAAGAAUGUUAUCACGGGAGACACACGGCGGGUGCUAACGUCCGUCGUGAAGAGGGAAAUAACCCAGACCGCCAGCUAAGGUCCCAAAGUCAUGGUUAAGUGGGAAACGAUGUGGGAAGGCACAGACAGCCAGGAUGUUGGCUUAGAAGCAGCCAUCAUUUAAAGAAAGCGUAAUAGCUCACUGGUCGAGUCGGCCUGCGCGGAAGAUGUAACGGGGCUAAACCAUGCACCGAAGCUGCGGCAGCGACGUUUAGGCGUUGUUGGGUAGGGGAGCGUUCUGUAAGCCGUUGAAGGUGACCUGUGAGGGUUGCUGGAGGUAUCAGAAGUGCGAAUGCUGACAUAAGUAACGAUAAUGCGGGUGAAAAACCCGCACGCCGGAAGACCAAGGGUUCCUGUCCAACGUUAAUCGGGGCAGGGUGAGUCGACCCCUAAGGCGAGGCUGAAAAGCGUAGUCGAUGGGAAACAGGUUAAUAUUCCUGUACUUGGUGUUACUGCGAAGGGGGGACGGAGAAGGCUAGGCUGGCCGGGCGACGGUUGUCCCGGUUUAAGCGUGUAGGGGGAGUGACCAGGUAAAUCCGGUUGCUUAUCAACCCUGAGGCGUGAUGACGAUGCACUACGGUGCAGAAGCAGUUGAUGCCAUGCUUCCAGGAAAAGCCUCUAAGCAUCAGGUAACAUUAAAUCGUACCCCAAACCGACACAGGUGGUCAGGUAGAGAAUACUCAGGCGCUUGAGAGAACUCGGGUGAAGGAACUAGGCAAAAUGGUGCCGUAACUUCGGGAGAAGGCACGCUGGCGUUAGGUGAAAGGACUAGCUCCUGGAGCUGAAGCCAGUCGCAGAUACCAGCUGGCUGCAACUGUUUAAUAAAAACACAGCACUGUGCAAACACGAAAGUGGACGUAUACGGUGUGACGCCUGCCCGGUGCUGGAAGGUUAAUUGAUGGGGUCAGCCGCAAGGCGAAGCUCUUGAUCGAAGCCCCAGUAAACGGCGGCCGUAACUAUAACGGUCCUAAGGUAGCGAAAUUCCUUGUCGGGUAAGUUCCGACCUGCACGAAUGGCGUAAUGAUGGCCAGGCUGUCUCCACCCGAGACUCAGUGAAAUUGAACUCGCUGUGAAGAUGCAGUGUACCCGCGGCAAGACGGAAAGACCCCGUGAACCUUUACUAUAGCUUGACACUGAACAUUGAGCCUUGAUGUGUAGGAUAGGUGGGAGGCCUUGAAGUGUGGACGCCAGUCUGCAUGGAGCCAACCUUGAAAUACCACCCUUUAAUGUUUGAUGUUCUAACUCGGCCCCAUGAUCUGGGGUGAGGACAGUGUCUGGUGGGUAGUUUGACUGGGGCGGUCUCCUCCCAAAGAGUAACGGAGGAGCACGAAGGUUAGCUAAUCACGGUCGGACAUCGUGAGGUUAGUGCAAAGGCAUAAGCUAGCUUGACUGCGAGAGUGACGGCUCGAGCAGGUACGAAAGUAGGUCUUAGUGAUCCGGUGGUUCUGAAUGGAAGGGCCAUCGCUCAACGGAUAAAAGAUACCGUCUUGCCAGCUAUCUGGCAAGCGGUAUUUCGGCCGCAAAUGGUUUACCCGACUUCAAUACGCCAUAAGCUAACUGCAACAACUUUUUCAUUGCUGCACACACUAGGCACUUACCCCGCUUUCCUUUCUCUUUCAGUCUCUUACAUAAUGCAGCAACGACCGGAUUAUAUUUCAAGGCCGUGAUUGCUGGCAUAUACAGUGCUUUUCGUAACAGGGCAUUGCCUUUCUUCGACAGCUUGGUACUCCCUUUCCAACACCCUGAUUCUUUUAGCAUCGGAUUGAGACCAGCAUAGGCAACCAGGGCUUUAUUACUGCUAAAUCGCGACAUAUCACCCA
rnacentral:rRNA from 1 species